AAUGGAUGUAAGCCCUAAACAAUUUAUACUGGUGAGAGUUUGCAUGUCUCCAUUAGUAAGCGUUUCAAUUCCAAAAUAUACAUGGAUUAAAGAGGGUAGAUACUGUCAUAUUUUAUUCAAGGGAAUUGAAAGAACCAAAGAAUAAGCUGCAUACAUUAUUUCACAAUAAAUAUAGCUCCUUUAUAAAAUCAUCAUUUUUGCUUCUUCUAUUUUGAUCCACUAGGUCAUUUGCAACCCAACCUCAAGAAGUCUAAUUUUGACCAAGAAUCUGUCAAGUGGUAUUGUAUUGUUGAUGCAAAAGAAGCCAACAAGUUCAACAAUUUCUUUUGACUAAAACUCUUCUAGAACCUUGUAACUUCGCUAUCAAGAGGAUCCCUUUGACCCUUCCUUGACCUUGUGGAUUUUUCUGAGUGCUUUGGCCAGUAUAAUAUGGCAAAAAUGAUGCAUUUGAAUUCUGAGAUUGUGUCAUGAAAAAGUCAUUAAGUUCCACUUCAUUUUUCUUAGGAUGAUUUUUCUUUGAAUCCGGCAACCAUUCUGAGAGGAAAGUUAAAACAGUCCAUGCAGAAAGGCCACAUGAAAUGGCUAGAUGUGGUUGCUAGGGAUGACAAUUUGGCUGAGGUUCCAGCUGCCAGCAUACAUCAAGUUUCAGAUAUGAGAUUGAAGAUGUCUCCAGACUAUUUGAGUUCCAUGUUGUUGAGUCACAUCACGGAGCAGAGAAAGAUUAUGCCAUCUGUCCAAACUCCUGAUUUAAAAAAACUCAUGGCAAUAAUAAAAUUUUAAUAUAUACUA